ACAGUUCUACGGAAAGCAAAGGACAACUCUAUUCAUGAAAAGGUUAUGAUGCAUCCAAACAGGUGCACAUUCAAGUCUUUUGCAGAAGUUUCAAACCCAAAACCCAGUGUCCCUCCCUCCAAUCUCCUACUUCUUCAAACUAAAAUCUUCAAUGGAGGAACCAAGCUCAGCCUCAGAAAAUCAAGUUGUGGUAGAUGAUGAAGGUGGUAAGGUUAAAGGAGGAGAAAUUCCAAGGUUUGAAAUUAAAGUGACCCAUGAAGCAAAACUUAAAGAACUGUUGCAUAAGAUUAAUUCUCUUGAAAUUAAGUUAUGCUUUGAUGGUGUAAAGGAGUUCAUUAAGUUGCUAAAAGGUAAUUCUGAAAGUGAAUUGCUUCAUUUAUAUGUAUGCACUUCUUUAAGUGCUUGGAGCUUCUAGAUGCUUGGAAAUUUUGAUGAGGGAAACUUGGUUGUCUUAUGUAUUGUCAUUGAUAUCUACUAUUUUGGGAUGGGGUAUAUAAUCCCAAGGAUGGGGAGCAAAAAGCUAUUAGUAAGGUUCUUAACAAGUUUUCCAGAUUGCUCAUUGAAGAAUAUAUGGUAGAUGCAAAAGAAACUAAAUGGUAAAGAAGCAAAGACCAAAGGGCCGCACCUUUGCUAAUGGCUUUGAUUGUUCAAGUCAGUCAAGAAUGGCCUCUAAGGUCGCAAAUAAAUUUGAUUCAAAAUCUAAGGCAUUUUCCAAGCUAACAGAAUAUAAAUAUAACCAAAAGGAGAAGAGGAUGACACAUUCAUUGAGGAAGGCACUUGUUGGCUUUGCAAUGUCAUCUUUGAGGUGGGGCGGCCAUGAUUGUUGAAGUGGGUGCUGCAGCAUAAGGAAAUGUAUUCUAGUGUUCUUCAUGGUCUUGGGAAUGAUGAUGAUGAUGAAAAUUUUAUUUAUGUUUUGUCCACAUUAUAGGAGAGGGUUCUUGUGGAAGAGUCCUUGGUGCCCCUAGGUCUUUGAACUUUUGGUUUCCAUGUUUCUCAGUCUCAUGAUCCCGCUUUGUUAAUAGUGGGGAUGUGUAGGGUAUUGUGGAAUGCUUGUAUCCUUGUCCUUUCAGCUGGUCAGUAAUUAAUAAGGGGUUGCUUCACUCUGAUUUUCUUGUGAAGUAUGGUACUCUAAGGCUUCUUUCGGAGGCACUGAAGUUGCUGGACUGGACUCCUUCAUUGGUGCUUUGAAUCGUGGUUCUUAUUCUAGCAAUCAAAUGAUGCAGGGUUGGGCAGCUCUCAAGCAAGGAAUUCAGAAUGAAGUCAGAACUUUGAAUUUUGUAAUCGAGAAAAGCUUUCUGGUUUUCUAAUGUAGGAAAUUUCACUGCCUUGAGAUCAGACUCUGCAAGAAUGCUUCAACUUCAAGAAUCUUAUUCCCAUUUAGCCUUUUUUUUGGAGGAAGAGAUUCAUGAGGAUUCUUUGAUACUAGAUUUUUUGAUGGCUAAACUGCUGCUAUUAUUCUUGGGAAGGUUUCUUGGAAAUCUAUUGGUUUUGUCUCCAAGAUUUCAAACCGAAUUAAAUUAGGAACUCUGCAAUCAUUAUUGGAUCUUAUUGAAAGUGAAUGUGAUGAAAGCAUUGAAAAUCGAUUUGGCUGUGAGUAUUAUUUACUGUCGACAACUUCAUGGCAUUCUUGUUGAGUGCUCCCAUUAGUUAUAUCUGCACUGUGUCUUCUUUCUUCUGCCUCCAGUUUUUCAGAUCAGUUAUCUUCCAAGGUCAUAAGACCCUGGUGGCAUCACUGUGUUCGAAGAUACAUUGCCCUGCUGAAGCUAAUCUUGCCUAGAGAUGGUCUUUUUACAGGCCAUGGAAGGACCUUUCAUUGGAACUCACUGAUUCACAAAGAUGGAUGAACUCCAUGCUUGUCAAACUCUCUCAAGUCAUUUUUGCUAAUGGAAUUUCAAGAAAAUCAUUAAGUUUGCAGGUAUUAUCACCUUUAAAUGUGGACAGAUCUGGUGUGUAUGAAUGGGAAAAAGCAUUAUAAGAGCUUGAAGGGUGAUCACUCCCAAGAUUUAUUAGUAAAAUUAGAGAUUCUAGAAUAACUUUACGCACUGAAAGGUAGUGAGUAGAGUGUAGUUGAACUCCAUGAUUUUUAAGAAUGGUGAAUAUGUUAAAACCUUAAGAUACAUGACUAGUACAAUGAUGGUUGUAAAUUGUAAGUUAAUGAAGGUGGGUUUGAAACAUCAUGUUACAGGCUUACAGCCAUCAUAUGAGAAUUACAGAAAUCUUAAUGCAGCCAGUAUUCAAGGAUGUCAUGGCAACAAAGUUGUACUCGAAUGCCAAUGUUAUUUUAGACUUGGAUUUGUUGUAAUUCUUGUUAUUGAUUUAUUGGUGGCAAAGUCUUCAAA